AAAGAUAUGAGCCGGAAACGAACUGGAGAAAUAUUUACCAUUAGAGUGGUCAAAGGUGAGUCAAGGUAAGAGUGACUAGACAUUGGUUUAUAACUAACCCCAGUCUAUGAAGCAACUGCAUACCAGGCAUGACUAACCUAAGUUUUACUGUACAAAAGUAGACAAGAAGCAGAACGGAUGGACAGACAGACAGACGGACAUAUUGAUUUUUAUAUACCACCGAACUUUGAAUACAGGGUUUAUAGGAAACCAAGAGGAGAUCAAAAUUAGGAAUUUUACGAUGACCGAAUAGAACACCGAACAUCCUUAAAAAUUGUAAAAGCAACCAUUUGAUAUUAGAAAUGUACAGUGCAUAUGCCA
rnacentral:lncRNA from 1 species